GAAAGAAAAUUCGAUUCCCUUAGUAGCGGCGAGCGAAACGGGAAGAGCCCAAACCAACAAGCUUGCUUGUUGGGGUUGUAGGACACUCUAUACGGAGUUACAAAGGACGACAUUAGACGAAUCAUCUGGAAAGAUGAAUCAAAGAAGGUAAUAAUCCUGUAGUCGAAAAUGUUGUCUCUCUUGAGUGGAUCCUGAGUACGACGGAGCACGUGAAAUUCCGUCGGAAUCUGGGAGGACCAUCUCCUAAGGCUAAAUACUCUCUAGUGACCGAUAGUGAACCAGUACCGUGAGGGAAAGGUGAAAAGCACCCCGGAAGGGGAGUGAAAUAGAACCUGAAACCGUGUGCUUACAAGUAGUCAGAGCCCGUUAAUGGGUGAUGGCGUGCCUUUUGUAGAAUGAACCGGCGAGUUACGAUUUGAUGCAAGGUUAAGCAGUAAAUGUGGAGCCGUAGCGAAAGCGAGUCUGAAUAGGGCGUUUAGUAUUUGGUCGUAGACCCGAAACCAGGUGAUCUACCCUUGGUCAGGUUGAAGUUCAGGUAACACUGAAUGGAGGACCGAACCGACUUACGUUGAAAAGUGAGCGGAUGAACUGAGGGUAGCGGAGAAAUUCCAAUCGAACCUGGAGAUAGCUGGUUCUCUCCGAAAUAGCUUUAGGGCUAGCCUCAAGUGAUGAUUAUUGGAGGUAGAGCACUGUUUGGACGAGGGGCCCCUCUCGGGUUACCGAAUUCAGACAAACUCCGAAUGCCAAUUAAUUUAACUUGGGAGUC
rnacentral:rRNA from 1 species